CUAUAAAAUGGUCUGAAAGCUCACCUGGGCCUUGAUUCCUGGUUUGAGACCCACCUGUGAGACAGCCACUGAGGCCUGCCUGUGUUUGCUGUUGAUUUGCCCACUGCAGGGAGAAACGAGAAUGUGUAGAGCCGUUGGAGUGAACCAGGGCGGUACAGAUGUGGGAUGGAAAACCAAACAGGGCUCGUGUGUCGAGGUACUCCGCAUGGGAAACACUUGAAUUCCACACCCACUUGUUGACCUGCCUGAACUCUCACUGUGCUGAUUCCUUGGUGUUACCUUGGCCGUGGGGAGAGGAUGACCACGAAGCUCACACGGAGGAGGAACAUAUGCAUGGGGAAACCUCUUGGCUCCGCGAAAAUAA